rnacentral:rRNA from 1 species
CCCAGAGCCUGAAUCAGCAUGUGUGUUAGUGGAAGCGUCUGGAAAGGCGCGCGAUACAGGGUGACAGCCCCGUACACAAAAGCGCAUGUGCUGUGAGCUCGAUGAGUAGGGCGGGACACGUGGUAUCCUGUCUGAAUAUGGGGGGACCAUCCUCCAAGGCUAAAUACUCCUGACUGACCGAUAGUGAACCAGUACCGUGAGGGAAAGGCGAAAAGAACCCCGGCGAGGGGAGUGAAAAAGAACCUGAAACCGUGUACGUACAAGCAGUGGGAGCCCCACCACCAAAGCAUUCUCUGGUGUUGAAGGCCCUGCAAAGCAGCAUCGCGGUGGCGGAGCGUCGUUUGCGACGCCCAACACACAAAACAAGCGGUGAGUGCUUUGGGGUGGGGUGACUGCGUACCUUUUGUAUAAUGGGUCAGCGACUUAUAUUCUGUAGCAAGGUUAACCGAAUAGGGGAGCCGGAGGGAAACCGAGUCUUAACCGGGCGUUAAGUUGCAGGGUAUAGACCCGAAACCCGGUGAUCUAGCCAUGGGCAGGUUGAAGGUUGGGUAACACUAACUGGAGGACCGAACCGACUAAUGUUGAAAAAUUAGCGGAUGACCUGUGGCUGGGGGUGAAAGGCCAAUCAAACCGGGAGAUAGCUGGUUCUCCCCGAAAGCUAUUUAGGUAGCGCCUCGUGAAUUCAUCUCCGGGGGUAGAGCACUGUUUCGGCUAGGGGGCCAUCCCGGCUUACCAACCCGAUGCAAACUGCGAAUACCGGAGAAUGUUAUCACGGGAGACACACGGCGGGUGCUAACGUCCGUCGUGAAGAGGGAAACAACCCAGACCGCCAGCUAAGGUCCCAAAGUCAUGGUUAAGUGGGAAACGAUGUGGGAAGGCCCAGACAGCCAGGAUGUUGGCUUAGAAGCAGCCAUCAUUUAAAGAAAGCGUAAUAGCUCACUGGUCGAGUCGGCCUGCGCGGAAGAUGUAACGGGGCUAAACCAUGCACCGAAGCUGCGGCAGCGACACUAUGUGUUGUUGGGUAGGGGAGCGUUCUGUAAGCCUGUGAAGGUGGCCUGUGAGGGUUGCUGGAGGUAUCAGAAGUGCGAAUGCUGACAUAAGUAACGAUAAAGCGGGUGAAAAGCCCGCUCGCCGGAAGACCAAGGGUUCCUGUCCAACGUUAAUCGGGGCAGGGUGAGUCGACCCCUAAGGCGAGGCCGAAAGGCGUAGUCGAUGGGAAACGGGUUAAUAUUCCCGUACUUGGUGUUACUGCGAAGGGGGGACGGAGAAGGCUAUGUUGGCCGGGCGACGGUUGUCCCGGUUUAAGCGUGUAGGUGUGUGUUCCAGGUAAAUCCGGUUCACUUUAACAC